rnacentral:rRNA from 1 species
ACACAUGCAAGUCGAACGAAGCUUGACGGAUGAUUUCUUCGGAAUGAAACCUGGUAUGACUUAGUGGCGGACGGGUGAGUAACACGUGAGCAACCUGCCUUUCAGAGGGGGAUAACGGCUGGAAACGGUCGCUAAUACCGCAUGACGUGUUCGGAUGGCAUCAUCUGAACAUCAAAGAUUUAUCGCUGAAAGAUGGGCUCGCGUCUGAUUAGAUAGUUGGUGGGGUGACGGCCUACCAAGUCGACGAUCAGUAGCCGGACUGAGAGGUUGAACGGCCACAUUGGGACUGAGAUACGGCCCAGACUCCUACGGGAGGCAGCAGUGGGGAAUAUUGCACAAUGGGGGAAACCCUGAUGCAGCAACGCCGCGUGAAGGACGACGGUUUUCGGAUUGUAAACUUCUUUUCUUAGUGACGAAGACAGUGACGGUAGCUAAGGAAUAAGCAUCGGCUAACUACGUGCCAGCAGCCGCGGUAAUACGUAGGAUGCAAGCGUUAUCCGGAUUUACUGGGUGUAAAGGGAGCGCAGGCGGGACUGCAAGUUGGAUGUGAAAUACCGUGGCUUAACCACGGAACUGCAUCCAAAACUGUAGUUCUUGAGUGAAGUAGAGGCAAGCGGAAUUCCGAGUGUAGCGGUGAAAUGCGUAGAUAUUCGGAGGAACACCAGUGGCGAAGGCGGCUUGCUGGGCUUUAACUGACGCUGAGGCUCGAAAGUGUGGGGAGCAAACAGGAUUAGAUACCCUGGUAGUCCACACUGUAAACGAUGAUAGCUAGGUGUGGGGGGUCUGACCCCUUCCGUGCCGGAGUUAACGCAAUAAGCUAUCCACCUGGGGAGUACGACCG